GUAUUUGUCAAAUUGUAUUUUUAUUUAUUAUUAUUAUUCAUAAUAAUAAUAAUAAUGAUAAAGUUGAUAUAUCUAUUUAAUAGUUCAGGACGAAUGUAUUUUUUUUAUAAUAGAUGCAUAUUAUUGUAUAGUUGACUUAGGUCUUAUUAUUCUUCUAUUUAUUUCAUUUUGGCGCAUUUAUUUCAUUUGUCUAAUAUUAUACAUGUUUCAUUUUUAUUCUCUAAUAUCAUUGUCUAUUGUAAUUAAGUAGAGAUGUAUAUGGUUGGUAUACGUUGUCAAAAUUAUUGUUUCAGACAAUGAGAUUUCAGAUUCCUUCUCAUGGAUAGAAAGGAACAUUAUGAUACCUUCUAUAGAGUGAAGCCUUUUAUGACUAACACCAAAUGGAGCUCAUGAUCUAAGUAGACUCCUGGAAGCUAAUGACCCGAAACGCCGACACCACCUCAGUGGGAAAAGGCUAAGAAUAAUACAAAGAGAGAGAAGCUUUACAAAUGUCACCAUUUUCUCACAUCGCGAAUUUUAUCAGUGAAUUUUAGUGAUUUAGUGAAAUAAGUAGUGCAAUAACAUCGAGUGAUAAUCUAGCUAGUUUAGUAAGUGAAUGUAGGCUUCAAAAGUAUGAAGUUCAAGACGAAAUUUUGGCUACCGGUUCGCUACUUCAUGGUUCAAAGAUGGCGUAAUCUAUCUCCAAACUCUGCUAACUCCUCACCAACAUAACUCCAGUCGAAUUUGAAUAUUUCACUAGUGGCUUAUCAGUGAAUUAUGAUCUUUCAUAUUGUUCUGUUCUAUAAUUUAUUCAUCCUCAAAUUGAUUGCUUGAAGUGUUUCUUUUUGAAACGUGAGUGAAUGCAGACCAGUUAUAGCUGUUAAGUGUUGCCAGAUCUUUCUGGGAUUUAAAAGUUUGUUUAGAUGAUUAAUCUUAAUCUCUCAUGCUUUAUAAUACUAACCACAUUGAUACUAACAUACAUUUUUAUCCAUAUUAAUUACUCCAUAAUUCAUUAAAAAUAGAUUAAUACUUAUUUCAUCAAAUUGAUAAGCCAAAGCUGUACUGAUUCUAUAAUUAUAUUUAAAUCAACUUAAUAUUAAUAUAAU